rnacentral:lncRNA from 1 species
UUUUUUUUUUUUUUUUUUUUUUUUUUUUUGUAGGUUCCUGUCUUUUGCUGACAGUUGUUCAACAGUUCUCACCCAAGAGAAUUCUGUAUCUCAUAGACAGAUGUCUGACUGUGAGAAACCACUAUGUGAUUAUUGACUAGCCUACUCUAACAUUGGUAUCAGAGACCUUGCAGUCUUGAUCAUCUUCUAUUGUAGCAAUGUAUCUGACUCAUAGAAUAAGCCUUUAAAAAGUCUGUUGAAUAUAUUUUUAAGACAUUUCCAAAAUGUUUAAGUUUGGCAACAGAAGCAGAGUUCUAGAUAGGGACUAGCAGGAUAAUAAGGCUGGGUCCUGGGGACAGAGGUAUGGAAGCAUGCAGGCCAGGAGUUCUGCUUUUAUUGAGGUUGAGGGUGGGAGCCUAAGAUUUUAUGGACUCACUCUUGAUCUAUGAAUUUCAAAUAUAGGAGAAGGAAUUUAAACUGUGGAAAGAGAAAAAACAAGAAGCCUAAACCUCUUCUAAAUUUCUAUUAAAUUUUUAGACCAGAGAAGUUUAUCAUUUUUUUUUUCUUAUGGGAUCCUUCCAGAACACGUCCUUAGGGCUCACACAUCUAAAGCAGAAUAUCGAAGUGUUUUCCUAAACAAAGAGUUUUCUCCCUAAGGGGAACACUGAGCCAGCUGUUAACAUUACAAUCUUAUUUAUUCUGCCACCUUUACUUAAAGAGUAAAUCAAUGAGGGCGUUUGGGGAAUUAACUUCUCCAGGAAAAGGCUUAUAUGACAUGACAGAAAUAUUAUCACAAAAUAAUUUUUCUUAAAGGUUUUGAUUACAUUGAUAUAUGUAAUUCAGUUUUCCCAAUACACAGCACCCCAUUAGAGAAAACUAGAUUGACUGAAGUGGUAACACACAUUUAUUUCUACUUGUCACAUAUUCAUGCUAUAUUCACAAACACUCUGCUCCCUCUAAACCUGUCCUUGAAGUAAACUUUCAUUUUUUUCCCCUUUGGUGUAGCUUCCCUACUUGUUAUCCUUAAUGUAUCCUUUGCUUCUAUAAAAAAGUUAGAUGAUCAGAGUUCCAAUUGUGGUGCAGCAGAAACAAAUCUGACUAGGAACCAUGAGGUUGCAGGUUCAACCUCUGGCCUCGCUCAGUGGGCUAAUGAUCCGGCACUGCUGUGAGCUGUGGUGUAGGUUGCAGAUGCAGCGUAGAUCCCACUUUGCUGUGGCUCUGGCAUAGGCUGGCAGCUGCAGCUCCAACUGGACCCCUAGCCUGGAACCACCAUAUGCCACAGGUGCAGCCCUAAAAAAUAAAAAAAAAAAAAAAACAAAAGUUAGAUGAUCCACCACAUAAUAGACUAAUGAAUGGGAAAUGUGAUGAUGAUGCAAGGAUCCACCCAAGUCUCUGAUCCAUUGCAGGAGUCUUGGAUAACUGUAAAUGUGUCUGAUUGGCACAGUCAAGAACUGUGAUUUGUCUUUAUCAGUUUGCUGUACCUCAGCAUAUCAACUGAAUUUCUGUCCCCAAAAUUGAAGUCAAACAC